rnacentral:rRNA from 1 species
UUAAGCGACUAAGCGUACACGGUGGAUGCCCUGGCAGUCAGAGGCGAUGAAGGACGUGCUAAUCUGCGAAAAGCGUCGGUAAGGUGAUAUGAACCGUUAUAACCGGCGAUGUCCGAAUGGGGAAACCCAGUGUGAUUCGUCACACUAUCGUUAACUGAAUACAUAGGUUAACGAGGCGAACCGGGGGAACUGAAACAUCUAAGUACCCCGAGGAAAAGAAAUCAACCGAGAUUCCCCCAGUAGCGGCGAGCGAACGGGGAGCAGCCCAGAGUCUGAAUCAGCUUGUGUGUUAGUGGAACGGUCUGGAAAGUCCGACGGUACAGGGUGAUAGUCCCGUACACCAAAAUGCACAGGCUGUGAACUCGAAGAGUAGGGCGGGACACGUGGUAUCCUGUCUGAAUAUGGGGGGACCAUCCUCCAAGGCUAAAUACUCCUGACUGACCGAUAGUGAACCAGUACCGUGAGGGAAAGGCGAAAAGAACCCCGGCGAGGGGAGUGAAAAAGAACCUGAAACCGUGUACGUACAAGCAGUGGGAGCACCUUCGGGUGUGACUGCGUACCUUUUGUAUAAUGGGUCAGCGACUUAUAUUCUGUAGCAAGGUUAACCGUAUAGGGGAGCCGCAGGGAAACCGAGUCUUAACUGGGCGUUAAGUUGCAGGGUAUAGACCCGAAACCCGGUGAUCUAGCCAUGGGCAGGUUGAAGGUUGGGUAACACUAACUGGAGGACCGAACCGACUAAUGUUGAAAAAUUAGCGGAUGACUUGUGGCUGGGGGUGAAAGGCCAAUCAAACCGGGAGAUAGCUGGUUCUCCCCGAAAGCUAUUUAGGUAGCGCCUCGUGAAUUCAUCUUCGGGGGUAGAGCACUGUUUCGGCUAGGGGGUCAUCCCGACUUACCAACCCGAUGCAAACUACGAAUACCGAAGAAUGUUAUCACGGGAGACACACGGCGGGUGCUAACGUCCGUCGUGAAGAGGGAAACAACCCAGACCGCCAGCUAAGGUCCCAAAGUCAUGGUUAAGUGGGAAACGAUGUGGGAAGGCACAGACAGCCAGGAUGUUGGCUUAGAAGCAGCCAUCAUUUAAAGAAAGCGUAAUAGCUCACUGGUCGAGUCGGCCUGCGCGGAAGAUGUAACGGGGCUAAACCAUGCACCGAAGCUGCGGCAGCGACACUAUGUGUUGUUGGGUAGGGGAGCGUUCUGUAAGCCUGCGAAGGUGACCUGUGAGGGUUGCUGGAGGUAUCAGAAGUGCGAAUGCUGACAUAAGUAACGAUAAAGCGGGUGAAAAGCCCGCUCGCCGGAAGACCAAGGGUUCCUGUCCAACGUUAAUCGGGGCAGGGUGAGUCGACCCCUAAGGCGAGGCCGAAAGGCGUAGUCGAUGGGAAACAGGUUAAUAUUCCUGUACUUGGUGUUACUGCGAAGGGGGGACGGAGAAGGCUAUGUUAGCCGGGCGACGGUUGUCCCGGUUUAAGCAUGUAGGCUGAUUGUCCAGGCAAAUCCGGAUAAUCAAGGCUGAGGUGUGAUGACGAGGCACUACGGUGCUGAAGUAACAAAUGCCCUGCUUCCAGGAAAAGCCUCUAAGCAUCAGGUAACAUUAAAUCGUACCCCAAACCGACACAGGUGGUCAGGUAGAGAAUACCAAGGCGCUUGAGAGAACUCGGGUGAAGGAACUAGGCAAAAUGGUGCCGUAACUUCGGGAGAAGGCACGCUGGUGUGUAGGUGAAGCCCCUGCGGGUGGAGCUGAGACCAGUCGAAGAUACCAGCUGGCUGCAACUGUUUAUUAAAAACACAGCACUGUGCAAACACGAAAGUGGACGUAUACGGUGUGACGCCUGCCCGGUGCCGGAAGGUUAAUUGAUGGGGUUAUCCGUAAGGAGAAGCUCUUGAUCGAAGCCCCGGUAAACGGCGGCCGUAACUAUAACGGUCCUAAGGUAGCGAAAUUCCUUGUCGGGUAAGUUCCGACCUGCACGAAUGGCGUAAUGAUGGCCAGGCUGUCUCCACCCGAGACUCAGUGAAAUUGAACUCGCUGUGAAGAUGCAGUGUACCCGCGGCAAGACGGAAAGACCCCGUGAACCUUUACUAUAGCUUGACACUGAACAUUGAGCCUUGAUGUGUAGGAUAGGUGGGAGGCUUUGAAGCGUGGACGCCAGUCUGCGUGGAGCCAACCUUGAAAUACCACCCUUUAAUGUUUGAUGUUCUAACGUUGGCCCCUUACCGGGGUUGCGGACAGUGUCUGGUGGGUAGUUUGACUGGGGCGGUCUCCUCCCAAAGCGUAACGGAGGAGCACGAAGGUUAGCUAAUCCUGGUCGGACAUCAGGAGGUUAGUGCAAUGGCAUAAGCUAGCUUGACUGCGAGCGUGACGGCGCGAGCAGGUGCGAAAGCAGGUCAUAGUGAUCCGGUGGUUCUGAAUGGAAGGGCCAUCGCUCAACGGAUAAAAGGUACUCCGGGGAUAACAGGCUGAUACCGCCCAAGAGUUCAUAUCGACGGCGGUGUUUGGCACCUCGAUGUCGGCUCAUCACAUCCUGGGGCUGAAGUAGGUCCCAAGGGUAUGGCUGUUCGCCAUUUAAAGUGGUACGCGAGCUGGGUUUAGAACGUCGUGAGACAGUUCGGUCCCUAUCUGCCGUGGGCGCUGGAGAAUUGAGGGGGGCUGCUCCUAGUACGAGAGGACCGGAGUGGACGCAUCACUGGUGUUCGGGUUGUCAUGCCAAUGGCACUGCCCGGUAGCUAAAUGCGGAAGAGAUAAGUGCUGAAAGCAUCUAAGCACGAAACUUGCCCCGAGAUGAGUUCUCCCUGAGACUUUAAGUCUCCUGAAGGAACGUUGAAGACGACGACGUUGAUAGGCCGGGUGUGUAAGCGCAGCGAUGCGUUGAGCUAACCGGUACUAAUGAACCGUGAGGCUUAACCUU